GAUGAACGCUAGCUACAGGCUUAACACAUGCAAGUCGCGGGGCAGCAUGGGGGUUGCUUGCAAUCCCCGAUGGCGACCGGCGCACGGGUGAGUAACGCGUAUCCAACCUGCCCUUCACCACGGGAUAACCCGGCGAAAGUCGGACUAAUACCGUAUGUUGUCCAUUGACGGCAUCCGAUUUGGACGAAAGGUUUGGCGGUGAAGGAUGGGGAUGCGUCCGAUUAGCUGGACGGCGGGGUGACGGCCCACCGUGGCGACGAUCGGUAGGGGUUCUGAGAGGAAGGGCCCCCACACUGGAACUGAGACACGGUCCAGACUCCUACGGGAGGCAGCAGUGAGGAAUAUUGGUCAAUGGGCGUAAGCCUGAACCAGCCAAGUAGCGUGCAGGAUGACGGCCCUAUGGGUUGUAAACUGCUUUUAUGCGGGGAUAAAGUGGCCCACGUGUGGGUUUUUGCAGGUACCGCAUGAAUAAGGACCGGCUAAUUCCGUG
rnacentral:rRNA from 1 species